AGAUGGGAGGGUGAUCUGUUGUGAUGUCUGUCACCCCAUUAAUCAGCUGAUUCGGCUGAUCUGGCUGGCUAGGUGGCCCCUCCUCCCUCACUGCUCCAUGUGCAGCCAAUCCUGAAGCUGUAUGCUCAAAGAGGAUGACCUUCCCUGAAUAAAGGAGGUCUGGUCUUCUGUCAAGGGUAUGAGUAGCUUCACUCACAGAUGCUAGCCCCAGACUACUAUACCCAGCAAAACUUCCAAUCACAAUAGAUGAAGAAAAUAAGACAUUCCAUGAUU
rnacentral:snRNA from 1 species